AGCAGUAGAGGAGAGUCUUUGAAGAAGGAUGAAUUCUAGGACCUGUUUCCUGAGUUUACAGGGUUGAAAGAAAGGGUUCUGAAAAGGAAGGUGAAAUCUAGGGAGCAAUGAGAGCACAAGUCAAGCAGAACAGACAGCUUUCGGAUGGACUACUUUUGCUUGGAAGGAGAUCCUAGAAGAAUAAUAUUUAUGACUGUGGGUGCUAUCCUGCUGCAAAUCAGCCCUGCUGUCAACCAAAGUGUACACACAUCUUGCAAGCAAUGAGGAAUUUGGAUGUCACUUCUUGCUUCCUCCCAACUUUGCACAUCCAAGCUGUAGUUAUCCUUUUUCUCAGUAGAAACUGAACAGUAUGUCUGGGUCCAGCUGCGAAGCUCUUGGCCAAAAGCUGAGUAAGAAGCAUCAUGGGAUGCAUCUGUGAUCUUGGAGGCCCAUGGAGGCUCUUAGGAAGGAAGGGCUGCUCAUGCUUGGCAAGGUAUCUCCAAUAUGGCCCUGCUCAUCAAAAUGGUUGAUUAAACUGCAGCCUUAGAGAGGUUGGAGGCUCCUUUCAGAAGAACUUGGGUGACAGGAGGUAUGAAUUUGGAGGCCAGCAGUUGUCAUAAUGCCAAACC